UAAUAAUUUAUCAAGAAAAUGCCCACAGGC
rnacentral:piRNA from 1 species